rnacentral:rRNA from 1 species
ACGGCUCAGUAACACGUAGUUAAUCUACCCUUAGGAGAAGGAUAUCCACGGGAAACUGUGGCUAAUACUUCAUAGAGGUUAAUUGCUGGAAUGCAUCUACCUCCAAAGGCAACGCCUAAGGAUGAGACUGCGGAUGAUUAGCUAGUUGGUGGGGUAACUGCCUACCAAGGCGAUGAUCAUUAGGGGCUCUUAGCGGAGUCGCCCCGAGAAGGAAUCUGAGACACGAAUCCAGGCCCUACGGGGUGCAGCAGGCGCGAAAACUUUACAAUGCUGGCAACAGCGAUAAGGGGACCUCGAGUGCCAGGAUACAAUCUUGGCUGUCGCGAUGCCUAAAAAGCAUUGCAUAGCAAGGGCCGGGCAAGACCGGUGCCAGCCGCCGCGGUAACACCGGCGGCUCGAGUGGUAACCGCUAUUAUUGGGUCUAAAGGGUCUGUAGCCGGCCGGAUAAGUCUCUUGGGAAAUCCAGCUGCUCAACAGUUGGGCUUUCAGGAGAUACUGUUCGGCUCGAGGCCGGGAGAGGUGAGAGGUACUUCAGGGGUAGGGGUGAAAUCUUGUAAUCCUUGAAGGACCACCAGUGGCGAAGGCGUCUCACCAGAACGGACCUGACGGCAAGGGACGAAAGCUAGGGGCACGAACCGGAUUAGAUACCCGGGUAGUCCUAGCCGUAAACGAUACUCGCUAGGUGUCAGCCACGGUGCGACCGUGGUUGGUGCCGUAGGGAAGCCGUGAAGCGAGCCACCUGGGAAGUACGGCCGCAAGGCUGAAACUUAAAGGAAUUGGCGGGGGAG